rnacentral:rRNA from 1 species
UACGGAGGGAGCUAGCGUUAUUCGGAAUUACUGGGCGUAAAGCGUACGUAGGCGGCUUUGUAAGUAAGAGGUGAAAGCCUGGAGCUCAACUCCAGAAUUGCCUUUUAGACUGCAUCGCUUGAAUCAUGGAGAGGUGAGUGGAAUUCCGAGUGUAGAGGUGAAAUUCGUAGAUAUUCGGAAGAACACCAGUGGCGAAGGCGGCUCACUGGACAUGUAUUGACGCUGAGGUGCGAAAGCGUGGGGAGCAAACAGG